rnacentral:rRNA from 1 species
UCUUGCAGGGAGUGAUUCCUUCCGCGGUGUACACUUGUAGAAGCCUUUGCAGCCACGCAAGUGGUAGAUCCAGGCGACUUUAAAUAAUCCUAGGAUCGCUAUGCAAGUCGGCCCACGCAUGUGGUGCCGGCGACACUUUCGAAUUGACGGGGAUACCCUAAAGCCUGUCGCACCAACUCUAUGUGGGAAACCGCUAGAGGGCCCGUGCUAACUACACGGGGUGGUAACAGACGACAUGGAUACCUCCACGCCUUUGGUGUGGAUACUAUGGGCAAUCCGCAGCGAAGCCUCUAAGUCCGGCCGCCGGAUAUGGGGAACGUUCACAGACUAAGUGGAAGUGGGUGGAGCGUUCGCCGCUCUGCUUAAGAUAUAGUCGGGCCCCUUAGGAAACUAAGGGGGUGAGUACACUGCUCGAAAUUUAAACUUGAACGUGUCUCGGAUAGCGCUCAUGUUAGAAUUUCGAGACUGUCGACUGCCUCGCGGUUUGAUAGCUCUUAAAACGUUCCGUAGGUGAACCUGCGGAAGGAUCAUUA